CCUACGGGAGGCAGCAGUGGGGAAUCUUGCGCAAUGGCCGAGAGGCUGACGCAGCGACGCCGCGUGGGGGAUGAAGCAUUUCGGUGUGUAAACCCCUGUUGCUCGGGACGAACGAUCCUUUUCGAGGGAUGUGACGGUACCGAGUGAGGAAGCACCGGCUAACUCCGUGCCAGCAGCCGCGGUAAUACGGAGGGUGCGAGCGUUGUCCGGAAUCACUGGGCGUAAAGGGCGCGUAGGUGGUUGGAUGCGCCGGUGGUGAAAGCGCAGGGCUCAACCCUGCGUCGGCCAUCGGGACGGUCCGACUGGAGCACUGUAGAGGCAGGUGGAAUUCCGGGUGUAGCGGUGGAAUGCGUAGAGAUCCGGAAGAACACCGGUGGCGAAGGCGGCCUGCUGGGCAGUUGCUGACACUGAGGCGCGACAGCGUGGGGAGCGAACAGGAUUAGAUACCCUGGUAGUCCACGCCGUAAACGAUGGGCACUAGGUGCUUGGGGGAGCGACCCCCUGAGUGCCGACGCUAACGCAUUAAGUNCCCCGCCUGGGGNGACGACCGCGAGUAGAACACAAGAAGUGNG
rnacentral:rRNA from 1 species